UGCUAGUCGCGCGGGUUUAGACCCGCGGCAUAUAGCUCAGUAACACGUGGCCAAACUACCCUACAGACCGCGAUAACCUCGGGAAACUGAGGCCAAUAGCGGAUAUCACUCUCACGCUGGAGUGCCGAGAGUGAGAAACGUUCCGGCGCUGUAGGAUGUGGCUGCGGCCGAUUAGGUAGAUGGUGGGGUAGCGGCCCACCAUGCCCAUAAUCGGUAUAGGUUGUGACAGCAAGAGCCUAGAGACGGUAUCUGAGACAAGAUACCGGGCCCUACGGGGCGCAGCAGGCGCGAAACCUUUACACUGCACGAGAGUGCGAUAGGGGGACUCCGAGUGCGAGGGCAUAUAGUCCUCGCUUUUCUGAACCGUAAGGUGGUUCAGGAACAAGUGCUGGGCAAGACCGGUGCCAGCCGCCGCGGUAAUACCGGCAGCACGAGUGAUGGCCGAUAUUAUUGGGCCUAAAGCGUCCGUAGCUUGCUGUGUAAGUCCAUUGGGAAAUCCACGCGCUCAACGCGUGGGCGUCCGGUGGAAACUGCACGGCUUGGGGCCGAGAGACUCGACGGGUACGUCCGGGGUAGGAGUGAAAUCCUGUAAUCCUGGACGGACCACCAAUGGGGAAACCACGUCGAGAGACCGGACCCGACAGUGAGGGACGAAAGCCAGGGUCUCGAACCGGAUUAGAUACCCGGGUAGUCCUGGCUGUAAACGAUGCUCGCUAGGUAUGUCACGCGCCAUGAGCGCCUGAUGUGCCGUAGUGAAGACGAUAAGCGAGCCGCCUGGGAAGUACGUCCGCAAGGAUGAAACUUAA
rnacentral:rRNA from 1 species